CUGGGUUAGCGCGCCCACGCGGACCCGAUGGUAGGACAGGUCACAGCUGAGCCGAUGAGAUCAUGGAGGCUGCGCGGAGGUCGGACGGGAUACGGCCGACGGGACUGAGCGGUGAUGGAGAGCUGCUUGUCCGAAUCCAUGAUGACCUGCAGUGUAACUGAAAAUCCGAGACAUCUUGCCUAUGUCACUUGGAGCCUCACUGCCAACAGCCUCAUAUUUUCUUCACAACAGACUAAAUAAGUCUCAAUUCCUGCACAGUCAGCCAUGGACAAGUGAAUAGUGAGCUGUGAAUAAGUGCCCUUUAUUACUCCCAUUGCUUAUUCUUAUUCCACAAAUGGAUAGCCCAGUUUUCCUGUCUGUGACAAUUUGCUUCCAGAUGUUAUAUUUUGCCAUACAACCAUGCCUUUAAACAUAAGAGCCAAGCCCUCGCACGGCAAGCUGACUCCUGCUGCCGCAAAGAGUGGUGGGCAAAAUGAUGGCAGCUCAUCUCAUUCACGCUUCUCGAGGUCUGCAAAACAGGGAAAAGGUAAGCAGGCCGUCAGCUCAGGUCCUGGGUCCCGAUCAGGACUUGAGCCUGGCUCUGUGUCAGGGGGUGGGCCUCCACCAGCAGCUAAACUGACCGGAGCACAAGGUUCAGUUUCAAAGGUUGGCUCAAGACUUAAAGUCAACACAUCAACCGCGGAUAAAGGAUCAGCUCGUGGUUCAGCAACGGCUCCAGGUGGCAAAACCAUGUCCAUGGAGAACAUCCAGUCUUUAAGUGCGGCCUAUGCCACUUCUGGCGCCAUGUAUCCCAACGAGCGGGAGUCCUUGGAAAACUCUGGUGGAUACCCUAAAAGUACCAUGACAUUAGGGCGGAGUACCAGCCGCUCGUCUUACACUGGUCGCAGUACAGCAAUUGGAAGCACCCCAAACAUCACGACCUCUGGUAUGCACCACAUAUCAGACUCUUGUGGAGACCCAACUGUGUUUUCUACAGGAACUUCCAGUUUGCGACGACAGUUUGGAAGAUGCACACAAACACUGGAUUCGGAUGAUCGGGGAGAGGUUUCCACCUGUGAUCUCCAGGCUCAGCUGAGGGAUCUGCAGAGAGAGAAUGAAAGUCUCCGGAGGGAACUGGAUGGAGGGAGGGAUGGAAAGACAGGCUAUGGCACGAAUAGUGUUAAUUUCUGGAGCCCUGAUGUAAAGAGAGACAAGGGGAGUAGGCGUGAAGAGGGAGUAAGGACGCCAGCUCUAAAGGAGCAGUGCAGAGUGAACCAAGAAGAUUUACAGCUGGGGGAUAUAAGAAGAAACAAGCAACUUCCUUUGACAGUUCAGGAGCUACAGGAGGAGCUGAGAGCUCACAGAGAGACGAACACUCGCCUGCGGCAACAGCGGCAGCAGAGCAGCUCCUAUCGAGAACACCAUAUGGACCAGGAGUUCAGAGGGGGGCUCAGUCCUGGCCACAGUCCCAGACAAAGUUCCAUAAACCUGCACAGUCCCGCACCUAAGAACAGCCCCAAAGCCAGUCCAUCGAACACCUACAAUCCAAGGCAACAAGAGGCUGACAUCAUCAUUCACAGUCCUGGCUAUGGGUGUAAUACAUUGGCAGCUACGCAGAGACUUAGCCCAGCCAACACCCUUCAGCCUGGGCAAAGGAACAGUCCAAGCCAGCCCCUCUACAGUCCUAGCCAGGGAGCACUGCCCAGCUCUAGCCCCCGUCAUCCAUGUAGCCCCUGUCAGGUGCCUGGGUGCGACGGCUUUUCUUCACCUCCUCCUCAGGAUCCAACAGAGGAAAACUUCUUCCGACUGCAGUCAGAACAUGAGCGUCAAGCCAAUGAGUUGUCCCUGCUGAGGAAAACUAUGGAAGAGAUGGAGAUGAGAAUCGACUCCCAGAAGCAGACGCUGGGUGCACGAGACGAGAGUAUCCAGAGGCUGCUGGAGAUGCUUCAGGGUCAGGGACAGUGGGGACGAGGACAGCGGACAGGCAUUAUUACCAUGGCAGCCCAGGAAGCUGAUGUCCACUUGGAGAACAUGCAUUUGAGAGAGGACACCAAGAUCUCUUCCCUGGAGAGAAACAUCAGAGACUUGGAGGAUGAUGUCCAGAUGCUAAAAACCACCGGCCUGUUGCACCCUAAUGAAAGGCAGGAUGAACUCAAGCAGGUGGAAGUCUACAAGAGCCACUCUAAAUUUAUGAAAACUAAGGAGCAGACAUUGUCACCAUGUGUGUCUUCCAUCAGACCAACUCCUACCUUCCUCAUGCCCACUCAACUGCCUUGGAUCACAGAACAAGAAGAAAUAGAGCAGCUGAAGCAGGAGCUGAACAGGAAGGACUCAGAGAUGCAGGCCCUGCAAACCAAACUAGAAACACUGACCAAUCAGAACUCGGACUACAAGCAACACAUCGAGGUGCUAAAAGAGUCGCUCGGUGCCAAGGAGCAGCGCGCCAACACACUGCAGACAGAGGUGGACGCUCUGCGAGUGCGCCUGGAGGAGAAGGAACAGAUUCUGACUAAGAAAACCAAACAACUGCAAGACUUAAGUGAUGAAAAGAGCACACUAGCUGGAGAAAUCAGAGACAUGAAGGACAUGCUGGACGUCAAGGAGAGAAAAGUGAAUAUCCUACAGAAGAAGAUUGAGAACCUGUUGGAGCAGUUAAAAGAUAAGGACAAACAGCUGGUUGGAUUGAGAGAAAGGGUUCAGGGACUUCAGACUGACUCAAGUAACACAGACACAGCUCUGGCCACUCUGGAAGAAGCUUUAUCAGAAAAGGAGCGAGUGAUUGAGAACCUCCGAGACCAGAAGGAACGAGAAGAAAGGGUGAGGCUUGAAGAGAUGGACCAGAUGAGGAGAGAGAACCAGGAACUGAAGGAAAAAUUGGCUGCUCUGCAACCCCCAAAGCUGCCUCAGAGCCAGGUCACUAACUCCAUCUUAAUCCAGAACCAGAGGCCUGAUGGGGAGGUUGAACCCAAAGUAGAUGGUUUUCCAGCAGUCAACCCCAUGACCCCAAAACCAGAGGAAACUGUCAGAAUCUGUCCAGACAUCGCAGAUCGUCUGAGGCUUCUCGAGCAGGAAGUGGCCCGCUACAGAGAGGAGUCUGGGAAGUCCCAGGCUGAGGUGGAGAGGUUAAAGGGAGCGCUUAAGGACGCCGAAGUGGACAAAUCGUGCAAGGAGAAGAAAAUUACUGAUCUUGAGAGACCUGGGCAAAUCAAGUCUCCAAAUAUCCAGAAGCAGAUUGUGCCUGGCGAGAUGAGGAAAGAUGCCUUGGCAGAUGGACAUCCACACUCUUUAUCACAGCUUUGCAAUUCCCAGGAUGCCAUGCGUGAGACGGCGGAGCGGAUAAUGGAGCUGGAGAAGGCUCUGAGGGAUACCAUGAACACCUCGGCCCAUAGGGAGGCCCUUUGGGCGCAGGAGGAGGCAGCCCGUGUUCAGGCCCAAAGACAGUUGGAGGAGCUGAUGGGAGCUUUAGAGAAGACUCGCCAGGAGCUAGAUGCCACUAAAGUACGUCUGUCCUCCACUCAGAAGUGCCUACAUGAUCGAGAUGGACACCUCAAUCAACUGCGGCAGGAGAGACGCAAACAGCUGGAGGAGAUUCUGGAGAUGAAGCAGCAGGCGUUGCUGGCAGCCAUCAGUGAGAAAGAUGCUAAUAUUGCCCUUCUGGAAUUAUCUUCUUCCAAACGCAAGAAAGCCCAGGAGGAGGUGAUGGCUCUGAAAAGGGAGAAGGACAGACUCAUGCACCAGCUCAAACAGCAGACCCAGAGCAGAAUGAAGUUAAUAGCAGACAAUUAUGAGGAGGACUACAUCCACCCCCAACAUCACCCUCAUCAUUUGCACCACAUGCAUACAGCAAAUUUGCAUCACCGGAGUCUGCCAAGAGGGGACCCACAUGCCAACCACCGACCUCCGAUGGAUCAGGAUGACGAAGAGGGUAUAUGGGCUUGAUGAGUACUAUCCAUAGGAACCUGCAUCUCAAUGGUGUCUACUUUCUCGGCGCUAACUCAUAUCCCUUAAGGUAAGCCUGGACCUCUGGUUAGCCUACUGGUUCAGAAACCUUGAUCAGAUAUCAACUGGGGAUAUGCAUUCAGUGAGUUGUGUAUGUGUGUUUAUAUUAGAACCUUUUAUCCCUUUCUAAUAGAAUAAACCUGGCACAUUAGUCUUUUAGUGGAGAGUGGUAUUGUGGCUAGCAAUAUCAACGCUGCUCAUCUAUCCGAUUCUGUUAUUCUGGCAGCACGCAGCACGAGUGCUGCUGGAGUGUAGAGCUAUCCUUUAUAGCAGAACAGAUGGGAGCCAUUCAGAGGUAUGUAGCUACAGCACAUAAGGCUGUACCUAAUCCCCAUAUCCUGUCCCUGAGUGAGCCCUCCCUAAUAUGAGCAAACAGAGAUGACAGCACAGAUAGACAAAUAGCUAAGAAUCUAUGUGCCUGAUAGAUUUGACUUCUGUUUCGUAACAGCACCAUUGAGUUCCGCUUCAACAAUGUGAUUUCCUUAUUAACUUUUAAAGUGUGAGUUACAGAUUGUUUAUCCAUGCCUCUCUCUCUGUAGAUCCUCAACUCUUAUUGGCUCAUUUAGGUUGUGUAUGUUCUGUUUUUGAUUACAGAGGUUUUGUUUACCUUCUAGCCUACUGGACUCCCUCACUAAUGAAAUAAGAAUGUCCUUUUAGAGACGCAGUGCAGAAGAAGGGGGGAUGGAGAUGCAUUUGGAAUCCCAAGAUUGAUUAGCUUCAGUUCCCAGGACCAGACGAUUUGUCUUCGUUUUCAGAUCCCAUUAAUAAAGCACAAAAGUUCAUCAGAUUGGGCUUUUAAAUGCUUAUAAAUAUCUACGUCAUUGAUACAGGUCACAUCCGUGGACAAAUGCAGUGUUUUGCUGGGGACCCAAGCUCCUUGUGGAUGAACCUCAUACCGCAGCUCAAUAUUGGCAAGUUUGCUCCUGCCUUCAAUUUCUGGGCUGUUUUCAAUAGACUGGGAGCUGGAUUCAUUUUGCAGUGCUGUGGUGCAACAGAGGCCUGACUUCAUAGUAACAAAGAGUCACAACAGUGUUGACGACUGCAAGCAAACUGAGGCCGAGCCAGAUGCGCGAGCCCCAGAUCCAUACCUGUUCAGGUUUAUGUUUGCAGGCUUGUGUUUACUUCUGGAGCUAAAUAUCAGACGUUUGUAAAUAUGACAACAUGGACCUCAAAAUCAACAACCCACUAAGACCUCCUCAAUGUAUGGUGCCAAAGGAAUUGCCGCAGUCCACUGGGAUAAAUAGAAAAAAGAUGAAACACCAACUGAUUCAACUCUUAUCCAAGACUUUCUACACUGCCCAAAUUACUUAACGGCGAUCUUAGUGUCUUGCAAAAGUAGUCCUGCCCCUUUGGAACGUAAAACACUUCAGUCAUGUUACAACCGAAAACUUAAAUGCAUUUUUUGGGGGAUUUUAUGGACCAAUAAACACUUUUUUUGUUGUUUUUUGAGAACCUUUUUUCUUGCUAUAAUCACUGUACUAAAAGCUGCAAGGCUUUUGGAGAGCCUUUGUGAUAUUGAAUGUCUAGUCUCGCCACGGUCUCACAAAUGGAUUUAGGUCUGAACUUAUGUAGCGUUCAUUUUCUAGUCCACACAGAACUGUGCAUAUUGGCUUCAAAAUUCUGUUUAAUCUCCCCUGACUAAAGCAAAUGACAUCAUAUUUGCUCUCUGCUCCUUGGUUUGUGGCAAACACACCACUGUCGGUUGGUUCUUAACAUAUAAUCCCAAUAAAAACAAACUAAACUGUGUUUGUAACAUGAUGAAAUGUUAAAAAUGUUCAAAGGCUAUAAAUAAUUUUUUUGAGGAAAGGCAUAGUAAAUCUACUGCACAGGCAUUAAAGAAAAAAGUGAACCUUGAUGUUCCCACAGAGAAAAUGAGAAUCCACUUAUACUCAAUCAAAAAGUCAGAACCUUAUUUACAGUGCAGAAAAGUGCAGUGUUUUUCUCCUUAUUAAUGUGUUCUGUUUGGUUUUCUGCAACUGAAGGAUCUGAGUGCCACUCUUAUUCUUUUCUUCUUUUUACAUCUGCUGUGUGUCUUAUGCUGAAGAGUGGUGUUUGUAUCGUCUAUUUGAUUUUGUGAAUUUCUGUGACUAACAACACUGAAGUGACUUGCAUUCCAAAUAACCAUAAUUUUUUUUCACUGUACUAAAAGUUGGUUUGAAGUGACAAUAUUGCUGUAUUGUUGUGAACUCAGCAGCUUCACAGUGUGUAAACGACUGAAUAUGUCCAGUAUAUGUGUAGGUGUGUGUGUGGUUGCGUGCGUGCGUGUGUGUGUGUGUGUGUGGUUGGGUCCUGCUCACUCAGUUGUAGUGACUGUGAAAGUCUGGGGGUAACAGUAUUCACCCUUGGCUCAUUCCACAAUGUUUGGCAGCUUUCAGUUUGUUCACGUUGUUUGAAUAAAACUUUUAACGUAAGUGGCAACAUGUGUUUUUAUCAGAAUGACAUCAGAGGCCUUGUUGGUAAAUUUCAUCACGAAGCUCUGCAUUUUCACAGGAUUAAAAUAUCGCCGCCUCCAAUGGCAGCUACAACAAUGGCCUGCUGCACAGGCUGAAAAAAAAAAAGACAAAUUCUUCCUAGUUUUCAUGGUCUACCAAUUCUCUCUCCCUCUACCUCAUAAACUCAGCCAGAUGUUGCCCAGUUUUCUUCCUCAGGCAACAUGGGGGGAUGGAAGGGGACGUAGUGAGACAGGGAGGUGGAAGAGAGAGGAGGGGCUGAGGGGAUCCUGAAAUGUGGCUGAGCAUGUUUUUAAGUGUUCUCUGAUGCAGUCAUGGCCCCCUAGCAUCCAACAUGGCUGGAACCAAAACUAUGGAGUCAUGGAGGUUUGAAAGCACUUUAUGCUAAAUUUCAAAUGCUAAUAAAGUUUCUGUUCUGUAGAGAUCGUUCUUAGGUUCUUUGUGAAAAAUCUGUUGCUUUUCCAGUUGGCAAAUCUGGAAAAGCAACAUUGAUCAUUUUCACUCACAGGAGCAGAAAGUGGUACUUACUCUUUGCAGCAAAUCUAUAGUGACAGGUUUUUAACAUUACCUUUUUGACAUGCAACCCUCUAUUUUGUCGAAACUGUAUAUGGAACAUUAAUAAAAUGAUAAAAGAAAUCAUGCACUUGGGUAAAUUUUGAUUGAAAAAAAUAUGCAUUAUUUCCACAUUGAUUUAAAGAGCCUAUAUUUAAAAUUAGUAACAUUAGUAAGCAUCUCAAAAACCCAUUAAAUUCUGUUUUUUUGUUUUUUUUAGCUGCCUGCAGAUCAACUUAUUUUGCAUUUAGCAUUGUAACAUGCUGUCUGAUCACCAGCUGAGCCUCAAUGUCAUAAAUUAUUUGAAUAUAUCAAAGUUUCUACAGAUAUUUACUAUGUCCAACAAAAGUCUUGUAAAAUACACCUGUGCAUGGCAUGGAAUAAGGUAUCUGGGACAUGAAUAUCACAACAAUGACUGAAAGACAUCACCGCAUCAUGCAGAUGUUCGGCUAACCUGGAGACAAGCCAUCACUUGCUUUCUGAAUAACAUGGCAAAUCAUUAUUGAGCAACUUGGAGUGACUCAUAAAGCAGCUGACCCUUUAAUGUGAAAAAAACAAAAAAAAACAAGACAGCAACGUCAUGAAUUAAUAAUGUGCCCAGUCGUGACACGCAAGAACCUCUUUGUGUCACUCCAUUGUUCUCAGUAUACAUGCACGUUUAACAGUGGAAGUGCAUGAAAGGCAACAAACAUUCAUCAAAACAUGACAGAAUUUGAUGUUCCACAAAAUAAUUCCACGUCAUACUUUUUUUUUUUUUUUUUUUAAAGCAUGAGCAAGCAUGG